rnacentral:rRNA from 1 species
AGCGAACGCUGGCGGCAGGCCUAACACAUGCAAGUCGAACGAAGUCUUCGGACUUAGUGGCGGACGGGUGAGUAACACGAGGGAACGUGCCUUUAGGUUCGGAAUAACCCAGGGAAACUUGUGCUAUACCGAAUGUGCCCUUCGGGGGAAAGAUUUAUCGCCUUUAGAGCGGCCCGCGUCUGAUUAGCUAGUUGGUGAGGUAAAGGCUCACCAAGGCGACGACCAGUAGCUGGUCUGAGAGGAUGUUCAGCCACAUUGGGACUGAGACACGGCCCAAACUCCUACGGGAGGCAGCAGUGGGGAAUCUUGCGCAAUGGGCGAAAGCCUGACGCAGCCAUGCCGCGUGAAUGAUGAAGGUCUUAGGAUUGUAAAAUUCUUUCACCGGGGACGAUAAUGACGGUACCCGGAGAAGAAGCCCCGGCUAACUUCGUGCCAGCCGCCGCAGUAACAC